ACCACUGGCCUAAAUACUCUGAAGGCACAAAAUACCAUCUAUCUUGGAAGCUAUGCAAAGUCAGCUCUGCUUUGUACCUGAAUAAGAGACCACAAAGGAAUAUCAAGUUCUGUAGGUU
rnacentral:rRNA from 11 species